rnacentral:rRNA from 1 species
GACGAACGCUGGCGGCGUGCCUAAUACAUGCAAGUUGAGCGAUGAAGAUUGGUGCUUGCACCAAUUUGAAGAGCAGCGAACGGGUGAGUAACGCGUGGGGAAUCUGCCUUUGAGCGGGGGACAACUUUGGGAAACGAAUGCUAAUACCGCAUAACAACUUUAAACAUAAGUUUUAAGUUUGAAAGAUGCAAUUGCAUCACUCAAAGAUGAUCCCGCGUUGUAUUAGCUAGUUGGUGAGGUAAAGGCUCACCAAGGCGAUGAUACAUAGCCGACCUGAGAGGGUGAUCGGCCACAUUGGGACUGAGACACGGCCCAAACUCCUACGGGAGGCAGCAGUAGGGAAUCUUCGGCAAUGGACGAAAGUCUGACCGAGCAACGCCGCGUGAGUGAAGAAGGUUUUCGGAUCGUAAAACUCUGUUGGUAGAGAAGAACGUUGGUGAGAGUGGAAAGCUCAUCAAGUGACGGUAACUACCCAGAAAGGGACGGCUAACUACGUG